rnacentral:rRNA from 1 species
GUGGGGAAUCUUGCGCAAUGGGCGAAAGCCUGACGCAGCCAUGCCGCGUGAAUGAUGAAGGUCUUAGGAUUGUAAAAUUCUUUCACCGGGGACGAUAAUUACGGUACCCGGAGAAGAAGCUCCGGCUAACUUCGUGCCAGCAGCCGCGGUAAUACGAAGGGGGCUAGCGUUGCUCGGAAUUACUGGGCGUAAAGGGCGCAUAGGCGGACAGCUUAGUCAGAGGUGAAAGCCCAGGGCUCAACCUUGGAAUUGCCUUUGAUACUGGCUGUCUUGAGUUUGGGAGAGGUGAGUGGAACUCCGAGUGUAGAGGUGAAAUUCGUAGAUAUUCGGAAGAACACCUGUGGCGAAGGCGACUCACUGGCCCGUUACUGACGCUGAGGCGCGAAAGCGUGGGGAGCAAACAGGAUUAGAUACCCCGGUAGUCC